UACGUAGGGUGCGAGCGUUAAUCGGAAUUACUGGGCGUAAAGCGUGCGCAGGCGGUUUUGUAAGACAGAGGUGAAAUCCCCGGGCUCAACCUGGGAACUGCCUUUGUGACUGCAAGGCUUGAGUGCGGCAGAGGGGGAUGGAAUUCCGCGUGUAGCAGUGAAAUGCGUAGAUAUGCGGAGGAGCACCGAUGGCGAAGGCAAUCCCCUGGGCCUGCACUGACGCUCAUGCACGAAAGCUAGGGGAGCAAACAGG
rnacentral:rRNA from 1 species